rnacentral:lncRNA from 1 species
UGGUAUGUUAGGUUAUAUGUAUAUAUAUUUAAUUAGCAUAAGAUGUUUAAUUAUGGACAUUUGUUAUUUUUGUUGAUUUAUCAUGACAUAAUUACUAAUUGUGUUUAGGGAAUUAUACAACAAACAUACAAGGAGUGCGGGUAUUUUGUGAUGCGCUUUAUGAAGGAGAUAGUUGAGGAUGAUAGUUUAGACAUUGUAGUCAAGGUUAGUUAUUU